rnacentral:piRNA from 1 species
UAGUGUAUGUCCUGUGCACCAGUCAAGC